GACGAACGCUGGCGGCGUGCUUAACACAUGCAAGUCGAACGGAAAGGCCCUGCUUUUGUGGGGUGCUCGAGUGGCGAACGGGUGAGUAACACGUGAGUAACCUGCCCUUGACUUUGGGAUAACUUCAGGAAACUGGGGCUAAUACCGGAUAGGAGCUCCUGCUGCAUGGUGGGGGUUGGAAAGUUUCGGCGGUUGGGGCUGGACUCGCGGCUUAUCAGCUUGUUGGUGGGGUAGGGGCUUACCAAGGCUUUGACGGGUAGCCGGCCUGAGAGGGUGACCGGCCACAUUGGGACUGAGAUACGGCCCAGACUCCUACGGGAGGCAGCAGUGGGGAAUAUUGCACAAUGGGCGGAAGCCUGAUGCAGCAACGCCGCGUGCGGGAUGACGGCCUUCGGGUUGUAAACCGCUUUCGCCUGUGACGAAGCGUGAGUGACGGUAAUGGGAAAAGAAGCACCGGCUAACUACGUG
rnacentral:rRNA from 1 species